rnacentral:lncRNA from 1 species
UUUUUACUUUAAUUUUAGUUUCAUUCCAGUUUAAAUUUUAAUUGUUCACUUUUUCAUCGUUCACUAUGACAAUUUAUUGAAAUGCAAAUCGGACUUGUCACGCGACUAGCCAUAUCUUUUCCAACCGGACCUGGCUCACCCGAAGUACGCCGCAGAACCUCCUCUCCGCCUCUUGCAGCGCGUCGGACUACCAAGGGAACCUCAGUGACACCGUCGACCAUUUCAGAGCUGCUAUGGAGCCAAUCGAUUCGACAAGCUGAGGAAUUCACGGCCAAGGCGCCCAUUCUUGACCCGAAGACACAAAAUCACAGAUGCUCCUCACCUAAGAUUUGCAUUGGUUGCAGCCUCCACCCCUGUUCCAGAUUUUUCAUAGAUCAAUUUUGGUUUAUUGGGGUUUGAUCCUUGAUGAAAUUUUUGGUUUAUUGGGGUUUGAUCCUUGAUGAAAUUUCUAUUCCUCUAGGUUGUUUAGAUGUAUAUAAUCUUGUAUUAAGUACUUCCAUUGAUUAAUUCAGUUGAGAUGCUUGUGUUUGGAUGUUACAUAGUUUCAACCAAUUCUUAUGACCUCCUCAAUUUUACUUGUAAGAGCUGCUAGGAGUUUUAUUUUCUUGAAAAUUGAUUAAAUCCUCAAGACCUCUAAGUUGGUAUACAAAUGGAAAGUUGGCAACACUCUUAAGAAGCUCCGGGAUCGCAAGCUUUAUUAUCCUUCUUUCAAGUUUCAUCCCUUCAGAAUCUCACCGAAAUUACUUAGCAUUUUGUCUUUUCAAAUUAGUUGUUUCUUUUUAAUUUACUAAAAAUUGUUUCUUCUCUGCAAUCUGCAUUUUAUAUGUGUUUUUAGCUAUUUACUAAGAACUGGAUAUAUGUAGAAGUUUAACCAAGUUUCAGUAAUUCAGUUUUAACUGCUUCUGUUAAUAGCUUCCAUUAAUAGCAUUAAUUUGUUAGAUUUCUGUUAUAAGUUUGUUAGUUGUGAAGUUAGUUAGCUUUUAGUAAGAAGCUAAAUUAAUUUUCCCACCAAUGUUAGAUGAUGAGCUGACAACUCAAUUCUUUACUUGUAUAAAUACCUCACUUAUACAUCUUCUCAUUCAUGAAUUGAAUAUAGAAUUUUUCUCUUAAUAUGGUAUCAAAGCAAUAAGACUCCUGAUCGAGAACUUUCUUUAUUGACAGUUAUUUUUUUUCUUUUUUCUUUCUAAAUUUCUCUACAAUUUUCUUGAUCUUUUCAUUUUUCAUCAUUUUUCAUACUGAUCCUAUGAAGAUGACUACUAAUCCUACUGCUAAAGUUGUUGAAUCAUCAUCUAAUUACAUCUAAAUCUAAGGUAGACACAGUUAUUUUUCUUCUUUUUUCUUCCUAAAUUUCUCUGCAAUUUCCUUGAUCUUCUUCAUUUUUCAUCAUUUUUCAUACUGAUCCUACGAAAAUGACUACUAAUCCUACUGUUCAAGUUGUUGAAUCAUCUAAUACAGAUCUAAUUACAUCUAAAUUUGAGAUUGAUCUGCUGAAUUCUGAUUCCCCAAGUUAGAUUCUAGUAAGUACUCCUUUGACUGAAUUCAAUUACCUCUCUUGGAACAGAUCCAUGAUAAUUGCUUUGACCGCAAAAGAUAAAAUAGGAUUCAUAAAUGGAAUAUGUAAGAAUUUAAUUUUUCAUAUAGUCCACUAUGAAAAUUUAUUAAAAUGCAAAUAGAAUUUACGAAUAGGUAUAAAUUCAUUUAUAAAUGUUAUUUCACAAAAUCCACAAUGAGUUUUUAAUGGUUUAAUAAAUAGAUUAAAUGGUCCAUGCCGUUAAUAUGUUAAUUGAAUAUUUAGCGGUACAAAUUACUUGAAAGUUAAUAUAAUGAAAAACUCUAAUACCCAAAAUACUUAUGGCACUUGGAGAGAGAAGUAAGAGCAUUUCCCUACAUCAUUAUCUGUCCAAAGAGAGUGCGACAGAGCAAUAAGAGAAAACAUCCAUUUCUUUAAAAGUUUUAAAUUUGGUUGCACAAAAAUAGAAUGGAGCUUUUGGAAUUAGAGGAACACUUGUAUUUUGGAGGGCAAACUCAAAGCAGCAAUAUAGUGAUUAAUAUGGCUUUGAAAAGAAGAUAUCUCAACGUCAAUUAGACUAUAUAUGAGUCCUACAAAGGUUUUUAUGUUUUACUUCUAUUUAGAUUGUAAAGGAGAGACAGUUUGGUUUCAAAAAGUGGUUUGUUUAGAGAUCACGUAGGCAACUAGUUAUAGGGUUUUGCUAUUGCUUUUCUCAUACAAAAUUAAAUAUAAAAGAAAGUUUCUUGUUAAUAAUCACAAAUAUUUUCUCUAUGCUAUAAAAUCCCAGUAUCAUAUAAUACAUCGUCAAGGAACAUGCUAUUUUAACGAUUCAAGCGGAGUAGGGAGCGAAAUGCUAGAAGGAAAAGCUACGGUGAAGGAAGUAAAUGCCCAUAGAAAUAUACACUUCUCCAUAUUCAGUUUAGUAUUCUAGUUAUAAAUGUCACAAAUUGAAAAGAUUUGAUUUUAUUAUUCAAAAUUUAAAAUUUUGAAUAUAAAUAUAAAUUAAUGUAAAUAUUUGGAUUAUUUAUCAUUCUGCGAACUCUUCCAUUUAAUUUUACAAACAGAUUUUAUAUCCGUUUACAAAUCCAAACAUAUCCAUUUAAUUUUACCAGCGGAUUGCUUAUCCUUUUGCGAAUUAGUUUGUAUUUAUUUAAUUUUACAAACGGAUUAAAAUCUAUUUGCCAAUCAAUUUGUAUCCAUUUAAUUUUACAAAUUAUACAUUCCUUUGUGAUCAUUUUAUAUCCAUUUAAUUUUACAAAUUAUACAUUCCUUUGUGAUCAUUUUAUAUCCAUUUAAUUUUAUAAAUAUAUUCUAUGUUCAUUUGUAUCCAUUUAAUUUUAUAAAUGGAUUAUACAGUCAUUUACGAAUUAGUUUGUAUUUAUUUAAUUUUACAAACAGAUUAUGCGUCCGUUUGCAAAUCACUGUGUUCAUUUAAUUUUAUUAAUGGAUUACAUGUCUAUUUGUGAAUCAGUUUGUAUCGAUUUAAUUUUACAAAUAGGUUAUAUAUCCAUUUGAAAAUAAGUUUGUUUCCUUUAAUUUUAUAAACGGAUCAAACUUUUUUAUGAAGCAAUUUGUAUCCAUUUAAUUUUACAAAUAGAUUAUACGUCCCUUAACGAAUAUAUUAGUGUCUAUUUAACUUACAAAUAAAUUAUAUAUCUAUUUAAAAAUUAAUUUGUAUUUAUUUAUUUUUAAAACGGAGUGUACAUCUAUUUACAAAUCCAUCUGUGUCAGUUUAUAAAAUUUUUGCAAAUAAAUUAUACAUCUAUUUAUAAAUCAGUUUGUGAUGAGUUGCAAAACUUAUUAUUUUCUUUAUAUUAAAUUUUAUAAUUUUGCUAUGAUUUUGAUGUAAAAAAUUAAUUUUUAUUUGAAAUUUGAUUUUGGACAGAUUUUAAGUUAAAAAUGAGAAAAAAAAAACUAAAAGAUACUGUUUUUAGAAUUUUUUUCUAAUUGCAAGGUACUGCUGUAACCCAAGCCAACAAACAGAUUUCAGGAUUAGUGUUUUGCCAGCUGUACAAAAUUCAAAACUGUUUUAAAUAGAUGCAAAUAAAAUCAUAUCAAGAUUAGGAUAAAAGUCAUCAUAGAAAUAGUAGUUUUAUUUUACUUUUUCUAUUAAAUUAUGAAUAAUUAAUUUUUUAUUUAGAAAAAAUCUAUAUAAAGGUUGCUCUAGAAGUAGAAUUUACCAUCUUUUCUCAUCAUCUCCUCUCUUUUUCGGUCCCUUCUUGGCCGAAUUCUUAUUCUUCUUCUUCUUUUAUUUUUUUUUGCAAUUUUAUUAUAACUUUUAUAGGCUAAACUCUCUUAUUCAGUUAAAAGUUAAUCAAAUUGAAAUUCAUCUAAAAUUGUGAGAUUAUGUUCUUAAUUUCUGUUUAUCUUAUUUUUAUUUUCAAUUAAUUUCUAAUUUCUCAUGUUCUUUUAGAAUUCAAAAGGGCUAUUGAAUCUACUCGGAAGACAUCGUAUUGUUAUUUAAUCUAAGUAAGUUUAAUUUGGAUUAAUCCAAGUAAGUUUAAUUGGGUUAAUACAAGUAGCAAUUAGUUUAAUUAAUUAAAUCUACACGUUUAAUGAAGUUAUUAAUUAACUAAAAAUUAAUUUAAGCGUUAUGCGGAUUAAUUUAGAAAGAAUUGGUGAGAUUCGUUUAUUUGAAUACUGUAACCAAUAACUAUCUUUUUAAUCAAUUAUGAACUGCAAAUCUUUUAAUUUUGAUUAUCUUCAGUUGAAUUUUAAUUUGAUUAUUUAUUUCAUCAUUUUAAUUGCGUUAUUUUCUUCUUUUAAGUUUUCUUUUUAAAUUAAUUUCUCCAAUAACGAUUUUUUUUAUUAUUAUUUUUUAUUUUAAACUAUUCUUUUAUCCGGCUUAUCAUCUAAUUUAAAUGAAGUUAAGGUAUAUGUAGAUCAAAACACUAUCUGCAUAUUUUUUUAAAUUAAGUAAAAAGAAAUCAGUUUUAAUUAACAGAUUCAACGCCCGUUUAUAUCCAUUGAAUUUUACAAACGGAUUUUAUACUUAUUUACGAAUCCGUUUACAUCCAUUUAAUUUUACAAACAUAUUAUAUAUCCAUUUAUAAAUUAAAUUGUAGUUAUUUAAUUUUACAAAUGUAUCACUCGAAUACAUUUAUGUCUAAUGCUAAAUAUGUGAAAAAAAAAAUCAAUAUAUCAAUUCUAUAUUUAAUCUUUAUGUUAAUUUAUAUUUUAAUCAAAUUUAUUUAUUUAUUUAAUUUCAAUUUAAUACUUGAUGAGUUGUAAGAUUCACUAUAUUUUUCAUAUUAAAUUCCAUUUUGUUAUAAUUUUGAUAUAAGCAAUUGAUUUUUACUUAAUUUUAAUUUUGGAUAGGUUUUGAGCUGCAAAUGAGAAAAUAAACAAAAAGAUACUGUUUUAGAACUUUUUCUGAUUAUAAGGUACAACUUUACCCAAAAUUAUGACCUAACCUUGAUGUAAUAGCAAAUACAAUCAGAUCAAAAUUAAUAUAAGAAUUAUCAUAGGAGUAUAGUUUUAUUUUACUUUUUCUUUUAAACGGUGAAUAAUUAUAUUUUUAUUUAGGAAAAUCCUAUAUAAAGGCUGGUUUAGAAGUAUAUCUCUCAUCUAUUCUCUUAUCCACACCCUCUUUUUAGUUUCUCUUCAGCCAAGCGCUCCUUCCCCUUCUUCUUUUAUUUUUUACAAUUUUGUUAUAACCCUUAAAGGCUAAACUCCUUCAUUCACUUAAAGGUUAAUCAAGUUGAGAUUUAAUUAAGCUGUGAGAUUUUAUUCUUAAUUUCUGUUCAUCUCAAUUUUUUUUCAAUUAAUUUCUAUUUUUGAGUAGCAUCAUCUCCUUUAAAAAUUUAAGAGGUCUAUUAAAUCGGAAGAUAAUAUAUUAUUAAUUAACCCAAAUAAAUAUAAAAUUAUUUAAUUGUGUUAAUACAAAUAGUAAUUAAUAUAUUCUUUUAUGUUAAAAAACUAAUUGAUUUAGUUGAAAUAUUUUGCUUGCUAUCAUUGAUCAAAUUUAGGUUCCUUUUCUUAAAACUGUUAAUUAAUUAAAUCUAUACGCUUAAUAGAAUUAUUAAUUAACUAGAAAUUAAUUUAAAUACUACGUGAAUUAAUUUAAUUUUAAAGAAUAAUUGGUGAAAUUCACUUAUUUAAAUACUAUAAUUAAAUAAUGGACAUUUGAGUGAAUAUUUUUUUUAAAUUAAUGAAUUCGUCCACGUCAGUCAAUAAAUUUUAAUUUUAAUUUUUAUUCCAUUUAUAUUCAUUUAAAUUAAUGGUUAAAUUUUAAAUUUUAUAAAUUCAUCCUCUAAUUUAACCUUUAAUAUUUAUAAACUUAAACUUAUUAUUAAAAUUUUAUCUCAAUCUUUUGAAUUGUAAUUAAAUUUAUUUAUAAAUUAAUUUUUAAUUAAAAACACAUAAAAAAUAAAUAAUGAAAGACUGGAGAAACCUCAAUUACCUUCCAUCACCCAUAAAUUCUGAAGUUUUAUCGCAUGCACAGCCCUCCUUAUAACUUCCAUUUCAAUCAUUAAGAUUAAGAUUUUUACAAAUUUUAAUCAAUUACGCAUUUAUUUCAACAUAUUUUAAUCGUUUUUUUUAAUUAGUUAAAUUUUCUUGUGAAAUAUUAAUUUUUUUCAGUGAAAUUGUUAGUGGUUUUUUAAUUUAAUAGAAAUUUUAACUUUAAUUUUAAUUUUAAAAAAUUAAAAGAAAGCUAGGUCCAAAACAUCCUAUGUACUGUUUAUGCAGUUUAACCACUUAUCCAUCAUCCUUCUCUAUCGACUUCCCAGAAACCAUAACCCAUCCCCGUUCUACACUGUUAUAAGGUACAGUUAUAAUAAUUUAAUAUUAUAAUAAUAUAAAAGAAUAAAUUUAAUUUGUUAUUAAAUAAUAUUUUUAUAUGAAAAAUUAAUAAAAAAAAUUACAAAAGGUGGUGCAUAUAAACAACUGGUAAUGCAUUUCCUUUCCCAAUUUCCUUUUUUUAUCCUUACCACUUUACCAGCUGGCAGAGAGCCUUCCUUUCCGGAUUCUCUAUUUCCUUUCCUCAUUCCCAAUCUUCGAUCCUUCCCUAAAAACAACUGACGAGAGAUCGAUGAUGAUGAUGAAGAUGCCUUGGAGGAGGAAGAGCAGGAGCUUCCAUCUUCAGCUACAAGGGGCAAUUGGUACCAUUCAAUCUCCAUUCCUAUUCUCAUUUACCAAUUAUUGCCAUUCUUCUACUUCCACACUUGAAGAAGCACUUUUCUUGACAAAUAACUUCAAAUCUGCUUCUUUUACGCACCUUGAUGAUGCCAUUGCUUCCUUCAAUCAUGUAAUUCAUAAGCAUCCUCUGCCUUCUAGGGUUCCAUUUAAUAGAUUUUUAUCUGCCCUUGUGAAAAUGAAACAAUAUCACACUGUCCUUUCCAUGUCCAAAACAAUUGAAUUGCUAGGAAUCUCUCACGAUGUUUAUUCUCUUAGCAUCUUAAUUAAUUGCUUCUGCCACUUACACCUUGUGGAUUUUGGCUUCUCUGUUUUUGGUAAGAUGCUAAAAUUUGGAUUGGAGCCUGACGUUGUCACGUUUAAUACCUUAAUUAAUGGGCUUUCUAUAGAGAGUAAAAUGGACAAAGCAUUGGAAUUUUUCGAUGAUAUGGUUGCACGUGGUUAUCAACCUAAUGUUCGUACUUACAGUGUGAUAAUAAACGUAUUGUGUAAAUUUGGGAAAACAAAUGUGGCUAUUGGGCUACUAAAGGAAAUGGCUGAUAGAGGUUGUGAGCCAGAUGUUGUGACAUACAAUGCAAUCAUUGACACCCUCUGCAAAGAUGAGCUAGUUGGUGAGGCUUUAGAGCUCUUCUCUCAAAUGAGGAAUAAGGGCAUUUCACCUGAUGUCAUCACUUACACUGGUUUAAUUCACGGUGUUUGCAAAUUAGGCCAAAAGAACCAAGCUUUGGCCUUGAUGAAUGAAAUGGUGGAGCAGAACAUAUCACCUGAUGUUUAUACCUUCAGUGUAUUGAUUGACGCUCUUUGUAAGGAUGGAAUGGUUUCAGAGGCUCAAAAUACAUUCAAUAUAAUGAUUCAAAGAGGUGUAGAGCCUAAUGUGGUCACCUACAAUUCCUUAAUUGAUGGUCUUUGCAUUUCAGACCAAUUGAAGGAAGCUUUGGCCUUGUUGAAAGAAAUGGUGGGGAGGAACAUAUCCCCUGAUGUUUUUACCUUCAAUAUAUUGAUCGACACUCUUUGUAAGAAAGGACUGGUUUCAAUUGCACAGAAUAUAAUCAAAAUAAUGAUUCAAAGAGGUGUGGAACCUGAUGUUGUCACUUAUAAUUCAUUGAUGGAUGGAUAUUGUCUGUGCAAGCAAAUUGAUAAGGCUAGAAAGCUAUUUGAUCUGAUGGUGAUCAAUGAAAUAGCUGACAUUUUUAGCUACAACAUUUUGAUCAAUGGAUAUUGUAAGUGCAAAAUGAUAGAUGAUGCAAAGGAAAUUUUUGAUGAAAUGUCUCAUAAAGGUUUAGUUUCUGAUGCUGUUACUUAUCAUACUCUUAUAAAUGGUAUGUUUCAAGCAGGGAGGCCCCAAAAUGCAAAAGAGCUCUUUAAGGAUAUGUGCUCUCAUGGUCAACAACCAAAUAUAGUAACCUUCUCAAUUAUGAUUGAUGGCUUGUGUAGACAGGGGAAUCUCGAUGGGGCACUCACACUAUUGAAAGCAAUGGAGAAAAGUCAGUUGAAGCCUAAUUUUGUGAUCUAUAGCAGUCUGAUCAAUGGUAUGUGCAAAGUUGGGAAGAUUAAUGAUGCCAAGGAACUUUUUUCUGGUCUUUUUAAAAUUGGUUUACAACCUGAUGUUUGUGUAUAUAAUGCAAUUAUGAAAGGACUCUGCCAACAAGGAUUAAUGGAUGAAGCGUAUAAGUUAUUUAAAGACAUGGAAAAGGUAGGAUGUUUACCAAAUAGUUGUUGUUAUAAUAUCAUCAUUCAAGGGUUUCUCAGGCAUGAGGAUUUACCAAAAGCAUCAGAACUAAUCAACGAAAUGGUUGAUAAGGGGUUCUCUGCUGAUGAUGCUACCACAGAAUUGGUAGUACAUUUGUCGCAGAAUAAUGAUCUCAUUCUAAGCAAACUACGAAAUCGUUCUGAGGCUUCUAAAGCUGUGCAAUGAGGGAUCAGCAAACUAAAGUUAUAUUUUGACCAUUCAAUGGUGUCUUGGAGAGAAAUUUGGUAAUUACCUUCUUCAAAUGUAGUAGAUAUGUAAUUUAACUAACUUCAAAUUUCAUUUUUAAUUUCAAUCAGCUGUGAUUCUCUUCCACAAAAUGAAAAUUUCUAACACUGUAAAUUACCUGCUGUGGAAACCAUGAUAUGUGUGUGCCUUUCGCUUGAACUCAGACAUGGACUAGAUCUCUUUGGAUAUAAGAUUGUUGAUGAAUGGAGGUCAUAGAUUUCUAAUGAUCAAGUUGCUGGUAAACCCACCAUCUUCCUUACAAUUUUUUUUUUGGGCUGCUACUACAGCCUUAAUUCGAGAGCUUAGUCCUAAAAAUGAGUUGAGAGCUAAACCUAAUUGAUUUCAUGCUAUAAUGCUUAAGAAUCUUUAUCUAUUUUACUUUUGUGCUCAAUGACCUUUUAAAAUGCUAUCAUUUUUCAGUAAACAUGCUGCAUUAGGACAAUAACUUGGAGAUUUUAUCAUAUAUUUUGAUUUUUACUAGUAAGAAUGCAGGUGUUAAAUCAGUGAACUAGCAGGUGUUAACACCUGCUUUCUGUAUCAUUUUACCAAAGCUACUCAUGCCUGUUUCCGUCCAUUAGAAUUUAACACCUACUAGUUUAUCAUAUACAUGCAUUACUUGUAAUAAGUUUAUGCUCCCAAAAUGAUUCCUAUUUAUUGCUAGUUUAUUACUUGUAGUAAGUUUAUGCUCAAAAUAAUUUCUAUUUAUUGCUCCUUGAGUUAAUACUUAUAACUUGAACUAGAGUUAAUACUUACUCGUUGAGUGCAAGUUUUAACACCUACUUGUUGAGUUUAAGUAUUAAUUUGAGUUUUUGCAACAGGUACAUCUGAGCUUGAGCAUGGUGCAGUAUCUCUUCCACCAGUCCACCGGGUCUUUUCCCGCAUGCCUGAGAUGAAGAUGGAUUAGAUGAGCAAAUCGAGGAUUUUUGUUGAUUACUUGUUGUACACAUUUUGGGUUACCGUUUGUUUUGGCAUUUACUACAAAAAUAUACUUUUAAUUAUACAUUUUUUGUGGUUGUACUAGAUUAUUUAUGUUCAAUUUUAAGUUCAAAAGACUUUUCUUUUUAUUAUAAUUGAAUACAUUAGAUUUGUGGUUGAUUUGUGUUAUAUUAUGCAUUUAAUAGUUUGGGUUUGUGAUAUUUGUAAUUAUUUUGGAUUUGGUUAAAUAAUAUUUACUGUAAGAAAAAAAAAUCUUUUCACUAUUGUUAAAACAUGUAAAUUUAUAAAAAAAUUAUUAAAAUAAUAUAAUAUUUUAAUACAGGAUUUACUAUUAAAAUUUAUUUUUUUUUAAAAAAAAAUUUAACUCAUUAAAAAUUAUUUUUAUAUAAUUUUAAUUUUAUAAAUAGAUUAAUAACAAAGUAAGAUAAAUAAAAAAAAUUUAUAACUUAAUAAUAAAAAUAGUAUUAUAAAAAUAAAUUUUAAGUGGAGAUUUGAAUUUGAAAUCUUAAAAAUGAAAAGUAAAUUUUUUGAAUUGAAAAAUAAUAUAGAAGAUGAGAGAUUAAAUAAUAAAAAUUUCUUUGAUAAAUAAAUUAAAUAAUUUAAAACUAUAAAAUAUAAUUAUAAUUUAAUUAAAUAAUUUUGAAAUAAGGUCGAAUUGGUAAAUUUUUAAAAUAUAUAAAAAUUUAAUAAUAAUUUUUCAUAUUUUAAAAAAAAUUAUCUAUACACCUUUAAAAAAUUUAAAAAUUUUCAGAAGGCUUAGGAGUCUGUCAAUGUGCACUGAUAUAUAUAUAUAUAUAUGUAUAUCUUGCUAUUCGUUUGACACCAAACCCUUAAAUAAAGGUAAUAUAGAAAUUUAAGAAUUUAUUUAUUUCAUAAAAAAUAUUACACGUAUAGUUUUAAUAAUAAUAAAAAAAACAACUAAUUUAGGGGUUAAGUGUCACUUUAUAAUUUUUGUUUUUUUAUUUUUUUAAAAAUUAAUUGUAUAAAAAUAAGUAUAAAUUUUUUAUAUAAUAAUAAGAAAUAAUAUAAUUUUUUAAAAUAUGAUAUUUAAUAGUAAAAUACUAUUAUUUUAAAAUAAUAAAUUUUUAAAUUUUAUUAAAAAAUCCACUGAUUAUCCAUAUAUAUAAAUUGAAUUCUAAUUACUCUCUCUACUAUACAAUUUUCUUUCUGAGUUUCUCACUCCCAAAUCUUUUAUUAACUUAGAAAAAUUUGAUCAAUAAUAUCAAGGUGGGAGCUUUUAACAGGAAAAUGAAAUCUCUUUUUAAGAUUUUAGAUCAACGUUAUACAAUUAAGUCAUAUUUUUCCAAUAAAUUAUUCUCCAAUUUGACUGAUUAGAAAACUAAAAUUUCACAAAUUCAAAGAGACUAUGUAGCCAUAUACGUGAAUGUUGAGAGCGAGAGAUAUCAAAUUUCAGUACUGAAUCUAAAGUUUCCAGCAUUACAAUAACUGAUUAAACAGUUUUAGAACAAUGAUUUCGACUCCAAGAUUGAUGACCAAUCAUAUUUGCUUGCACUACUGACAAAUUUAAUGAACUACUCAAAUUUGUAGGGAUUGUCAUAUGAAAUUUUAGAUAGUUUUAAAUAAUUCUUUUUUAUAUGUUUAAAUUACUAAUAAGUCCUUAUAUUUUAUUGAAAUUAAUCAUUCAAUCUCUAUUUCUAAAUUAUUCAAUUAAAAUAUUUUAAAUUUUAUAAACUCAAAUUCUUUAAUAUUUUUAUCGAAUAAAAUAUUAGUAAAUAUAUUUUUAGCUUUAAUUAGAAAAAAUUAAAUUAUAUAUAAUAUAAAAUUUUAUUUUAACCGAAUAACAAAAUUGAAAAAUUAAACGGUCAAUUUUGACAAAAUGUAAAAAUUAAAUAAUAAUCCACUCUUUUAUAUUUUAAAGUAAUAUUUUUAUAUUAUAAAAAUUAAAUAAUAAAAUAUUUAAUAAUUACAAUUAAUAAAAUUACUAAGUAAUAUAUAUUUUAAAAUUUAAAGGAUUUUUUAUUUUAUUUUUUAAAAUCAAAAAAUCAAUUAAUAAAUUUUUUAUAUUAAAUAAUAAUUUUUCAUAAUAAUAAAAUAAAAAUAUAUUUUAUAAAUUAAUUAAAUAAAUAUUUAUUUAAUAAAAUGAAUUUGACUGAUGAAAUAAAAUUUUAAAAUUUUUAACGAUAAUUUAAUAAAAAUUAUAUAUAAAAAAAAGAAAUCGCAAUAAUAAUAAAGAUAUUCUUAACUUUUCUCGUUAAUGGCACGUAUAUAACUAUUAAUAAUGUAAGUUAUUAAAGUGAAAAUACAUAUUUUCUCCAAAUGUCAUAUAGCAAAAAGAAGAAAUGAAAUAUCACUUAAAAUUAUUAUAAAUUAAUAAAUAAUAUAACUUAUAAAUUAUAUAAAUUUACUGUGAGCAGAAAUUGACCUUCUCAUUUUUAUUGAAAAUGUUAUGUAUUUAAUUAUUAUUAAUAUUUAAUUAUUUUUAAUUAUUAUCAUAUUUUAAAUUUAUUAUAUUAGAAAGUAAUAAUUUUUUAUUUAAAUUAUAAUAAUAAAUUUUAUUGUUAUUAAAAUUUUUUUAUCACUAUAUUAAUUGUUGUUAAUAAAAAAUAAAUUUAUCGAUAUUAUUAUUAUUUUAACAAUCAAUUAUAACGAGUAAUGCAUUUCCUUUACCAGCAGGCAGAGAGCCUUCCCUUUCCGUUUCUCUAUUUCCUUUCCUCAUUCCCAAUCUCCGAUCCAUCCCUAAAAACAACUGACGAGAGAUCCAUGAUGAUGAUGAUGAAGAUGCCUUGGAGGAGGAAGAGCAGGAGCUUCCAUCUUCAGCUACAAGGGGCGAUUGGUACCAUUCAAUCUCCAUUCCUAUUCUUAUUUACCAAUUAUUGCCAUUCUUCUACUUCCACACUUGAAGAUGCACGCUUCUUGACAAAUAACUUCAAAUCUGCUUCUUUUACCCGCCUUGAUGAUGCCAUUGCUUCCUUCAAUCAUGUAAUUCAUAAGCAUCCUCUGCCUUCUAGGGUUCCAUUUAAUAGAUUCUUAUCUGCCCUUGUGAAAAUGAAACAAUAUCACACUGUCCUUUCCAUGUCCAAAACAAUUGAAUUGCUAGGAAUCUCUCACGAUGUUUAUUCUAUUAACAUCUUAAUUAAUUGCUUCUGCCGUUUACAUCUUGUGGAUUUUGGCUUCUCUGUUUUCGGGAAGAUGUUCUAAUUCGGAUUGGAGCCUACCACUGUGACAUUUACUACAUUAAUUAAUGGGCUUUGUAUGGAGAGUAAAAUGGAUAAAACAGUGGAAUUUUUCGAUGAUAUGGGUGCACGUGGUUAUCAACCUGAUGUUUGUACUUUCAAUGUGAUAGUAAACGGAAUGUGUAAAUUUGGAAAAACAAAUGUGGCUAUUGGGCUACUAAAGGGAAUGGCUGAUAGAGGUUGUGAGCCAGAUGUUGUGACAUACGGAGCAAUCAUUGACGCCCUUUGCAAGGAUGAGCUAGUUGGUGAGGCUUUAGAGCUCUUCUCUCAAAUGAGGAAUAAGGGCAUUUCACCUAAUGUCAUCACUUACAAUAGUUUAAUUCACGGUGUUUGCAAAUUAGGCCAAAAGAACCAAGCUUUGGCCUUGAUGAAUGAAAUGGUGGAGCAAAACAUAUCACCUAAUGUUUAUACCUUCAGUGUAUUGAUUGACGCUCUUUGUAAGGAUGGAAUGGUUGCAGAGGCUCAAAAUACAUUCAAUGUAAUGAUUCAAAGAGGUGUAGAGCCUGAUGUGGUCACCUACAAUUCCUUAAUUGAUGGUCUUUGCAUUUCAGACCAAUUCAAGGAAGCUUUGGCCUUGUUGAAAGAAAUGGUGGGGAGGAACAUAUCCCCUAGUGUUUUUACCUUCAAUAUAUUGAUCGACACUCUUUGUAAGAAAGGACUGGUUUCAAAUGCACAGAAAAUAAUCAAGAUAAUGAUUCAAAGAGGUGUGGAACCUGAUGUUGUCACUUAUAAUUCAUUGAUGGAUGGAUAUUGUCUGUGCAAGCAAAUUGAUAAGGCUAGAAAGGUAUUUGAUCUGAUGGUGACCAAUGAAAUAGCUGACAUUUUAGGCUACAACAUUUUGAUCAAUGGAUAUUGUAAGUGCAAAAUGAUAGAUGAUGCAAAGGAGCUUUUUGUUGAAAUGUCUCAUAAAGGUUUAGUUCCUAAUGCUGUUACUUAUUCUACUCUUAUAAAUGGUAUGUUUCAAGCAGGGAGGCCCCAAACUGCACAGGAGCUCUUUAAGAAUAUGUGCUCUCAUGGUCAACAGCCAAAUAUAGUAACCUUCUCAAUUAUGAUUGAUGGCUUGUGUAGACAGGGGAAUCUCGAUGAGGCACUCACACUAUUGAAAGAAAUGGAGAAAAGUCAGUUGAAGCCUAAUUUUGUGAUCUAUAGCAGUCUGAUCAAUGGUAUGUGCAAAGUUGGGAAGAUUAAUGAUGCCAAGGAACUGUUUUCUAGUCUUUUUGAAAUUGGUUUACAGCCUGAUGUUUGUGUAUAUAAUGCAAUUAUGAAAGGACUCUGCCAACAAGGAUUAAUGGAUGAAGCAUAUAAGUUAUUUAAAGACAUGGAAAAGGUAGGAUGUUUACCAAAUAAUUGUUGUUAUAAUAUCAUCAUUCAAGGGUUUCUCAAGCAUGAGGAUUUACCAAAAGCAUCAGAACUAAUCAACGAAAUGGUUGAUAAGGGGUUCUCUACCGAUGAUGCUACCACAGAAUUGGUAGUACAUUUAUCGCAGAAUAAUAAUCUUAUUCUGAGGCUUUUAAAGGUGCGCAAUGAGGGAUCAGCAAACUAAAGUUGUUAUAUCUUGACCAUUCAAGUGUAUCUUGGACUGCAACUUGGUAAUUACCUUUUUCAAAUAUAAUAGAUAUGUAAUUUAACUAACUUCCUCAAAUAUCAUUUUUAAUUUCAAUAAGAUGUGAUUCUCUUCCACAAAACGAAAAUUUCUAACACUGCAAAUUACCUGUGGUGGAAACCAUGAUAUGUGUGUGCCUUUCGCUUGAAUUCAGACAUGGACUAGAUCUCUUUGAUAUGAGAUUGUUGAUGAAUGGAGGUCAUGGAUUUCUAAUCAUCAAGUUGCUGGUAAACCCACCAUCUCCAUUACAAUUUUUUUUUGGCUGCUACUACAGCCUUUACUCGAGAGCUCAGUCCUAAAAUUGAGUUGAGAACUAAAACUAAUUGGUUCCAUACUACAAUGCCUAAGAAUCUUUAUCUAUUUUUACUUUUGUGCUCAAUGACCUUUCAAAAUGCUAUCAUUUCUCUUGUAGGUACUUGCAAGGAUAUGACUACAACUUCACCUUUCUAACCAUAAAGGUAUAAACAAUUCAUUUUUGCUUAGUUAUUAUAAUUUUUAAUAGUAAUGAGAUUAAUGAUUAUAGACCAGUGUGCUUUAAUUGAGAAUUGAUUUAACAAUUAUACUACACUAUAAAUGCAGGGCGCAGGAUAUACAGUCUUGUCACUAAUGGAUAUAUUUUAGUGUUGGACCACUAUUUGAGUUAUUUAUAUGGUGCAUUUUGCGAUACAUUUGUGUGGUGUUAUGAAUGUGAAACACAUUGUUUCUUACUGUGUGGAUAUAUAAUGAGACAUUUUAUGUUUUUACCACUUUCUAAACCUUGUAAUAUACUUUUUCUUUUUGCUUGAUGCAUCUUUGUUGAAGUUUUUGUGAUUCUGCAUCCAUGGGAAAUGGUUUGUUAGAGAAGGUGGGUUUGACAGGGUACAUAUUGAGAGGUAGGAAACCGAUUGCAAAAUGAUUCAGAACCCAAGAAUCUAUCAGUUGUUGUUUACUUUACAAAAUUGAAUAAACUAUGGGAUAAACUUGGUGCUUUAAAGCAUCAUCUAACUAUUACACAUUAGAUCUUUCUUGUGGUGCAGUAGUGUCAAUACAAAGAAACUUCAUUGAUUAAAUGGAAUACUCUUGUUGCAUCUCUUCCCUUAGAUCUUUCUUCUCUCCUUUUAAUCUUAUCAGAUUUGCUGUGGGGAAUGAGAUGAAAAUAAAAUCUUGGAAUGAUAGACGAUCGGUUGGUAAUGUUGCUCUCAAAUUCUCCUUUAGCAGACUAUUAAAUUUAGCAGCUAACCUAGAUGUGUUGAUGUUAAAUAUUUUUUUAAAGGGUAGUUUUAGAAAAAAAUAAAAUCAAUUUUGUAAACAAAUUUUUAAAAAUAUCCAUUUCCAUAUAAAUUUAAUUAAAAUAUAAAUUUAUAAUUUAUUUAAUUAAUUUAUAAUAUAAUAUUUUAAUUUACAUAUAAAAUCUACAUGUUCACGUCUAUUUUAAUGGAUUAAAAAAACUAUACAAAUAUACAUUAUUUAAAAUAUUUUAAUUUGAUUUGUUCGAUUAAUUUACUAUUUUAAUUUAGUUUAUGUUCUAUUAACAAAUAUAAUAUUAAAAUUUUAAUAGAUUGUAGAAGAACUCAUAACUCAUUAAACAAGCAGUUCAUCUACUCAUAAGGACAUACCUGUGGAUAGAAAAGAGCAAUGCCAGUGCUGCAACAGUCUUCUCCCCACCAGACAACUAUUCCAUAUCACGGAAACGCUUUGUUGGGGGCAUAGCAGUGUAUUUGAUGCCAUGUAAGAAGGGGUCAUCCUCAUUUUCUAAGUUCAGAUAUGCCGUACCACCAAGUGGAUGCGUGUUACUCUUUGUCAGUUGUUUAUAUAUCUUGUCAAUGUUAUUUGAUAUGUGGUUAAAAGCUUCCAUAAACAACUCGUAUCUGCAAAAACCAAAAUGAAGUCAUAGCAUCAAUGAUAAAACAACAUUACCAGUUGAUUUUGUUAUUCUGACCUACAAGACAAUGAACAAAGAUAAAUCUGCACAACAGGUGGAUGCAGUGGCAAAAUAUACAUAUAUAAUAUGUAUACAUGCAUAUUAAUACAUCAGAACGUGUGACAUGCAUCUAAAUUAAAUGUUACAGGUGUAUACUUGUCUUCUUAGUGAAGUACACGAAUCAAGCAAGUGAGAACCAAAUGAUCUACUAAAGAUUUCUUAAUUAUCUAAAUGAAGAUUCUAUGCCCGUUAGCCAAUUCUCUUUGCUUACAUCCAUUGACCGAGUUUCUAGAUUCUCAAAAGCCCAAAAUCUCACUCUCCUAACUAAUUGGCCAAGAAUUAGCCGAAGGGAUUGCAUCCCAGAGCUUCUUAAACUUAACACUUUAUUCUACAUUCUCCACAAGCAUUUGAACUAUUCCAAGGAGUUUUAGCCCGAUCACAUAAAGAAGGAAUUUAUCCCAGCAAAGUACUCGUUUCAUCAAGUUACCUAGACAAUUUUCUUUUGGGCCAAGAAUCACCCCAAUAGGAGAGAGAGAGAGAGAGAGAGAGAGAACUUUCUGGGCAAGAAAAACAAGAACAAGAUCAAUAAACUCCUCUCUACUCUCUGCAGUAAAUGCACCGAAAGAUAUCUGGCCCAUGGUGAUGACAAUAAUAACAAUAAUGAUGGUCACGACAAUGGGAAAAGAGACAGAGAUAGAGAGUGAGAGAUAGACAAAAAGCACAUGAUGACCCAUAUAAUUCACCAAUUCCAUAAUGUUGAAACACAGUUAUUCUUUUGUUUUUGUGCUGAAAAGAUCAAAAUACACAAGCACACAGUUAUAUAUUUUCCAACUUGUAAGUGAUCUUUCAUUUUCUAGGAGAACAAAAUAGCUCCUUAAAAAGAAACAGCAUCAAUGAUGCCAAAUGGAUAGCAAUGAGGAUUCAUGGAUGCUAUGAGGUUAGGGUGGAGGGGGAAGAGGGGGAGGAGGAGGCAAGUGUUAUGUACAUCUUACUCCCCCAGUAUUAGUCAAUCAGAAAAAUAGUUGCAUUUUUUUUAAUAAUAUUUUCCUUCAUUAAUAUUUAUCCAGUAACUUGUUGCAGAACAGAAUGAUAUUAACUACUACCUUCUCUGCUUAACUGAAUUGUAAGCAUCAGCUACUUGCUUCUCCUCCUUUCUGGCUGCUUCAAAUUCUUCGGUCGCUGCUCUUUCCUUCUCUAGCAAAGCCUCAUACUGAUCCAGAGCCUUCAAAUUUGGCGCUGUUUUUUCAAUUUCUGACAUUAUAGCAUCCAUUUUUUGCUUAAAAUCUGCCUCGAUUUUUUCUCGGUCAGAAGGUCUCCUGUCCUGAGUAAGAGAUCUAUUCAGCUCACUAAAAUCAAAAUAUGGGCCAGGGAUCUCAGAGCCAAUUUCCAUUGGGUCUGAAAUAGUAGGAAGGCUUAUGUGUUCUAAUUCACACUUCUCCACAAUAUCCUGCUUCCGAGACAAUAGUUGCUCAAUCUGUCCCUCCUGUAAAACAAAGGAAAAAAAAGUGUCAGCAUUAAUUCAGUAGGUUAUAAUUUAGUUGUAUUUUCUUCCUUGCCACCCAUGUAGAAACUUGCACCAAGGAGAUUUCAGAAAAGAAAGAAACCACUUUGAGACCUUAGAGUUUAUUUGACGGUUAAGUUUUGAUAUGCUUGUUGCAGCUGCAGAAGCUUGCUUCUUCCAUUCAAGCAUCUCCUUCUCUCACUCCUCUGACUUGGAUUUCAACUCUAUAGAAGGAAAAGUUAUCUACUUAAAUAAGAGGACAAAAAUGAACAAAAAUAACAUUGAACAUUCCGAGACAUCCCAAGAUACCAGUGCGAAAUCUCAGUCUCUCACUCUCACUGAUCUGGGAAUAAUUUUACAUGAUUCUCAUUUAUCACAAGACUCAACCAGAAGCUAUCAUGUACAAUCAAAUUACUCUGAUUUGAUUGAAUAAAACUAUGCUGAAACCCAAAAGAAAAAAAGAGAGAGGGAAAGGAUAAUCAAAUUUCUUAUUUAACACCCAUGGGUUCUUUUCAGAAUAGAUGUUUCUUCUUUUCAACUUUAAGUAAAAUGAAUCAAGUUUCUAACACAAUUUCAAAGAAGUCGGAGUUGGGUAGAUAAUCCUUUUUCUUCUUUCUAUUUUCCACAUGCCCUUCUAGCUAAAACUGGACAAAAAAUUUUACACUUUUACCAUUAAUAUAGCUUGUAUAUUCACCAAUGUUUCUUAGAAAUAGCUUAUGAUUAGGGAAAAAAAAAAGAAAUUAAAGGAUAUCUAAGAUACUCAUAAAAAUAUAUAGAACAAUCUUAGGGACCCUUUUGUUUCACAUUAAAAAAUGCAUUUGGAAAAAUCACGAUAUUGGUCAUGACUAUUGAUGCAUUCUUUUAAAAAAUAUUAUGCAUCUUUUAUGUAACAAUAGAGAAUUUGUUUUCUGUUGCUUCCGACUGCUUGUAAUGAAUUAUCCCUUGUCUCCUUGAGCAUUUAAUGCAUAUUUUUUAUUUUGACAUGCUAACACUAUGCUUAUUGAUUCCAAAUCAUGCAGAAAUUAUUGAGAAUAUCUAUACAAGUUACCAACCAUAAUGUUCUAAAAUUCUUUCCCAGUCUUGAUCCUUGUGCAUUCUAAAGAACAACUUGGUUCACAAACUCUAGUCAACUGAGGAAUCCAAAUAUAUAAUGUUGAUGCCAUUAAAUUAUUAGAAAUUUAUCAUACAACCAUAGAGCACACAGGGUGAACUUUUUAGCUCAUUGUUCUAUGUCGAAUUACUUUUUACCAAAUAUGCAAAGUGUGCAUUGCUUAAUCAGAAUAACUAAUUUAUGCAAAUUAUCGAAAUUCAUUUAAAAUUCAAAAUGGGCCUGAAUGUUAGCCACAGACCAGGAAGUUAAAAAAAAUGAAGCACCAAAUCGUACCUCGCACUUCUUCCUUCCAUUUGUUUAUGUCACCGGCAGCUUUCUCUGUUGCUAACUUGACUUCAGCCUCUUUAUUUUGAAUUUGUUUUAGUUCAUUUUCUAAAGCACUGAUAGAGCUUUCCAAUUUCUUAAUUCGUGAGUCCAUGUCUCGCUUUUGCUCGUACUCCAACCUGAAAAUAAAAGAAAAGGAGGUGGAAAGAACCAUUAUAUACAGAAAAAAAUGGUAAAGUAGCAUGAAGGCAUUCUUUCAAGUUCUAUAAAUAAGAUAGGGUCAAUCUCAAAGGUAGAAUAAUGCAUCAAGUUUUCAGCAUCAUUUUACCAAUAUCACAUGGCAAAAAUAAAAUGUUAAGAGAAAUGUCCUCAUACAUUCGGUUAAUCCAGUAAAAUUUCCUGAAGAAUCAUGUGACAUAUUGGUAUAUGGUAUGAGAACAAGAACAGUGUAGAGCCUCCACUUUAAGCACAAGAAAUUAAGACUUGAAAAAGAGAACCAUGCACCCUUAGAUUCUAAAAUAUACAUAUCAUGCUCCAGUGCUUGCACAUAGUAACUGAAAUGAACACCUGAGCAGUAGUAAAAGCUGCUGGAAAGAACAACUUGUAGCAUUUAGAAAGAACAUGUCCAAAAGAAGUAAGAUCACAGAAAUGGGAUUAAGAGGAUAAGAUCCAUUUCCCACAGGCUACAUAAUUUAAUAGGUGUUGUCAUUAUAUUUGGUUCAAUUUCAGUUCUUACAAUUUUGUAGAAUUCAAUUGACUUCCAUGUUUUUUGUGUUUAGUUUGAAUAGAAAUUAGAAUUUAAUUCUAGGAAUUCAAUUCCAUGGAACUAGUUAUAAUUAAAACCAAAUCCUAUCAAAUUUUUAUGGAAUUUGAAAUGAAUUCUGCAAAACUUACAUAACAAUAUUGUUUGGACUAAAAUGCGCAUAUCAGACAAUUUCCUCACCAUCAUGGCAUCAUCCAUCUUCUUAUAUUUAAUUAAACUCUAUAGGUUAAAGAAGAUAAAAACCGUAAUUUAGCUUUCUAUUUAUACUAUUAUCUAGACCACUAUAUAAAAUAUUUUACUCUCCUAAUUCAUAAUAUUUAAGCUUAUUAUGCUCUUAGUAAUAACACUAUUUAUUUUAUGAAUAAAUCUCCAAGACCUGUAAAUUUAUUAAUAUAUUGUUAAUAAGUAUCUAUGUUUGUUAAUUGUUAUAAAUUUAUUACAUAUAAAACUUUUUGAUAUGGUAAUUAUUAAAAUUUUUAAUGUUACCCUUGUGGGUACUUUAGGAAAUAAAAUAAAAUGAAUUUCAAUUAUAAAAUUAUACCAAACAUGACUUAUGUGGAAUUCAAUUGAAUUCUGCAUUUUAAGUUGUAGCAUACCAAAUGAUGGAAUUUAUUUCAAAUGAAUUAUAUUUAGAAUUUAAUUGAAUUCCACAUAAUCACGAAGAAUGGAAUUAAACCAAACUUUAUGUUAGUUGUGUGCUAUUGAAUUAUACCUCAUAUUUGUUAUAUAAAUUUUUGGUUCACUAAGGCCACCCGCAAAAGAGAGGAGCACCUAAGAAUGUUGGUAGUCUUUGGUUUUUUUUUUUAUUAUGGGGGUUGAUUAUGUAAACCCCAUUUGUAUUAGAAAUCCUGAGUGCACAAGAAUUAGGUUAUUAUAAAUAGCACUGUAUAAUUUCUCCUUAGAUUUGAAAAAGCAUAUGGUUAUUGGUGGACCAUGGUUGCAGUCACACUAGCAAAACCACAUAAAUUCUUGUGUUUGCUUCUUUUCUCUUGCUUAUGUUCCAAUGUGUGUGUCUGUAGGUAAUUUUCACAAAACAAGUAAUAUCUGAAACACUAGAAGUAAAUUAAAACGUGUGAAUAGAUGUUAACAUUUCAUUGCCUGUCUUCAUAGCUACAGUGCUCAUAGUGUACACCAAGGAACAAAUGCCUAAGCAAAUGGUUUCAUCUAAUACAUUUUUAAUCAUAUAAGAAGUGCUAAGCUCAUAACGCACAAUCUGCCUCAUCUAAACCAUCAUAUUUGCUGACAAAUGCCCAAAAGAAAAUAUCUCCAAGAAGAAACUAACAGAAGACAACUGGGUGCACAACUCGUUUAAUCUCAACGUGUAUAAGUGGGGAUCCCUAAAAUCUUAAGAUGGCAUCUGCAAUUCCAAGAUUUUUCGUUCCAGUUCAUGAAAGAAUCCAAAAACACCUUUAUCCAUGACCUGAUCUGAAUCUUAGAACCUUACCCUUCAUAGGACAGAGAUAAAUAGAUGACACAUGGAUAAAAUUCCCGGAGCAGCUUAAAACUAAGCAAAUCAUUUCACAUACAAUGCUAUUAAAAUAACAUAUCAAAAUAAAAAGUUUUAAAUUUUUUUAGUAAGAGUACAGAUUUGUGAAUAAUAUUUUUUUAUUAUAUUAAAAUCAAAUUAUAAAUAAAAUAAUUAAUAAUAAAUAUUAUACUUGUUAAAAAAUUAGUUAUACCUUUCAAAUUAUAAAUGUUUAAAUAUAAUUUAUUAUUGAAUAUCUAUAAUUUUACGUAGAAUAAAAAUAUAAAAUUAUUUAAAAUUUAUUCGUAUUUUUCAAAUUAUAAAUUACUAAGUAUAAUUUAUUACUGAAAAUUACUAAUUUUAAAUAAAAUAAAAAUAUAUUAUUAUUAUUAUUAUUAAUUUUGAAAUUCAUAUUGUAUUAGGAUAAAGUUUUGUUUAAUAAUAAUUUAUAUAUAAUUGGACUAUAAUAAUUUUUUUUUUUUUUAAAAAUAUAUGUUAAUGAUAAUUUUAUUAAAUGACAGAUAUUAGCAAAUAAAAAGUUGAAUAUUUCAAUUGUAAUAAAAAAAUAAACUAAAAUGAUAUAUUUUCUUAAUUUUAUUUAUUAUAAUUUUUUUAGAUAACUUUGAUUAAAUAUAUUCAUAUAAUAAUGUGAUAUUAAGAUAAUAGGAGCCCAAAUUUAAUUGCCUAUUUGCAAUAAUAAUAAUAGUAAUAAUAUAUUAUAUAAAAAAUUAAUAAAGAGAUAAAAUAAAAAUAACAAUAAAAUAUUGUUUAAUUUGUGAAAGUGUGAAAUAUGGUUGUAGAGAAAUAGAGUGGUUUACUUGAGUUUUUGGAAUCAGAGCAUUUAUAUUUUUUGGAAGGCAAACUCAAAGCGACUAUAAAUUCUACUAGAGUUUCUUAUGUGCCACUUCUGAUUAGAUUCUGAUUAUCUGAUUAGAUUCUGAUUAGAUUGAUAGAAAAAGGAGAAAUAGUUAGAUUUCAGGAGAUAGUUUGUUCAGAAAUUAUGAAAACAAUCGGUUACAAAAUUUUACAGUCGCUUUUAUCUAAAUGUCUAAAACAUUUUAGAGCUACUCAUAGACAUAUUUCUCUAUGUUACAAAAUUUCAGUAUCAUACAAUACAUUAUUAAGGAAUAUACUACUUUAAUGGUUCAAGCAAAAUAGUGGGCAACGUGAGGACUAAACCAAAUUUCUAAUAUUUUAAUGUUUAGAACUAUAUUUGAAACUAAAUUUCAGUACAGUUCUCAAUUUCAGUACAACCUCAAUUUGAUUUCAGUUCUUUUUUUGUUUCACUUUAAUUUUAGUUUUAUUUCAGUUUAAAUUUUAAUUGUUCACUUUUUCAUCGUUCACCACGACAAUUUAUUAAAAUGCAAACCGUACCUGUCAUGCCGGUAGCCAUAUCUUUUCCAACCGGAGUACGCCACGCGUCAGACCACCAAGGGAACCUCAGUGACACCAUCGACCAUUUCAGAGUUGCUAUGGAGCCAAUCGAUUCGACAAGCGAGGAAUUCAUGGCCAAGGCUCCCAUUCUUGACCCGAAGACACAAAAUCACAGAUGCUCCUCACCUAAGAUUUGCAUUGGUUGCAACCUCCACCCCUGUUCCAGAUUUUUCAUAGAUCAAUUUUGGUUUAUUGGGGUUUGAUCCUUGAUGAAAUUUUUGGUUUAUUGGGGUUUGAUCCUUGAUGAAAUUUCUAUUCCUCUAGGUUGUUUAGAUGUUCCAUUGAUUGAUUCAGUUGAGAUGCUUGUGUUUGGAUGUUACAUAGUUUCAACCAAU